rnacentral:rRNA from 1 species
UCUGAAAAGAGAGUUAAAAAGUGCGUGAAACCGUUGGAAGGGAAGCGAAUGGAGACGGCAAAUCUCCGAGUUCUCGCGAUCUGUACAGACGCGGUUCGCGCGGUCGCAGUACCCGCGCGGUGCACUUCCGGUGGGCUAGCGUCAACGUCGGUCUACGACGCGUCACAUAGCCGCGACACGGUAGGUCCUUAGUGUUGCGUGCACUCGUACUAGACCGGUCGCAGCGUGUGCCUGUAGGCUGCUGACUUUGUUGUCGAUCCGGCGAUGCUGUCCAACGGACGGCUCCGCCUGUGCGUCGGCAGGCCGCCGUUCGACCGACGAAGGAUGCAGACACGACGCGCUGAGUACGUUGACCGCCGUGCGGCUCCAUCCGACCCGUCUUGAAACACGGACCAAGGAGUCUAACAUGUGCGCAAGUCUCGGGGUGAUCGAAACCCUUCGGGCGCAAUGAAAGUGAAUGCGGUCUCGGCCGCAGAGACGAGAAGCCGUGCCACAUCGUCGACCGACCUGUUCUAUCCUUGGAAAGGUUUGAGUUAGAGCGCACCUGUUGGGACCCGAAAGAUGGUGAACUAUGCCUGAAUAGGGUGAAGCCAGCGG